UUCAAUCGUACUAAAUCCAAUAAAUUAAAUUCCAAGUAGAAUGAAGCAACAAUUCCAAUGAAGUUCACUUCGAAACUUAAAUAUCCAAGCACAGCUCUCCAAUAUCACCUUAAAAUCAAGCAAUACCCAAAUCAAUUAAUCAAUUUCAAAACUUACGCUAGCCAAGAACAAUACUACUAAAUCCACAAUUCCUCCUUACCAAUGAAAUCACAACAUAGCUUUGACGAUUGACAACAGAACAGAAUCAGCGACAAUCGAAUGAAACUGAUGCGUGCAAAACAGAUAUGCACUACAAUAAAGAUGGAUGUCUGACCCGCGACUGGAAAACGAGGAGUUGCGCAAUAGAUGAGGACUUCACGAUGCACAACUGUUGGAUGCUACACGGCUCGUAUCUGAACGAUAAGCGUCGGCAAAACAAUUGGGACGGGGCUACCGGUGGGGACCCG
rnacentral:lncRNA from 1 species